UACGAAGGGAUCUAGCGUUGUUCGGAUUUACUGGGCGUAAAGGGCGCGUAGGCGGUCUGAUAAGUAAGGUGUGAAAGCCCCGGGCUUAACCCGGGAACUGCACUUUAAACUGUCAGGCUUGAGUAUGGGAGAGGUAAGUAGAAUUUCCAGUGUAGAGGUGAAAUUCGUAGAUAUUGGAAAGAAUACCAGUGGCGAAGGCGGCUUACUGGACCAUAACUGACGCUGAGGCGCGAAAGCGUGGGGAGCAAACAGG
rnacentral:rRNA from 1 species